AUUUUAUGGCAAUCCUGAAAAGUUACGCGUUUCUGAGAAAAACCAAAUUAUGACUAACGAAAAUGCGGACAAACAAUACAUUAUGACUUCAAACUUUAUGGGAAACAAUAGAGACCCGCCAGAACCCUUUUGUUUUGCUGCAACGCACACA